rnacentral:rRNA from 1 species
AGAGGUCCCGCCUGCCCUGUGACUAUAAGUUUAACGGCCGCGGUAUUUUGACCGUGCGAAGGUAGCGCAAUCACUUGUCUUUUAAAUGAAGACCUGUAUGAAUGGCACGACGAGGGCUUAACUGUCUCCUUUCUCCAGUCAAUGAAAUUGAUCUCCCCGUGCAGAAGCGGGGAUAAAGCCAUAAGACGAGAAGACCCUAUGGAGCUUUAGAUAUCAAAGCAGCUCGUGUUAAUCACCUCCAAAAAAGGAGUAAAACAAAACGAACCCUGUUUGAAUAUCUUUGGUUGGGGCGACCGCGGGGAAAUAAAUAACCCCCACGUGGACUGGGGGCACUUGCCCCUAAAACCAAGAACUACAGUUCUAGUUAACAGAAUUUCUGACCAUACAGAUCCGGCAAAGCCGAUCAACGAACCGAGUUACCCUAGGGAUAACAGCGCAAUCCCCUUCUAGAGCUCCUAUCGACAAGGGGGUUUACGACCUCGAUGUUGGAUCAGGACAUCCUAAUGGUGCAGCCGCUAUUAACGGUUUGUUUGUUCAACAAUUAAAGUCCUACAUGAUCUGAG